UACAUUAAUCUUAUUGAAUUCUUCAUAAUGUAAAUUGUAUCUAUUUGAAUUAAUAACGGAUUAUAGUUGCCAAUCCAUGAAUUUAAGUAACUAACAACAUGUAAUUAUUAUCUGCUAUCGAACAUCAAUCUGUAGCUUUGUAGUUUUUAUCCAAACUCUCUCAUAAUACCUUCGUUUAGAUUGGGCGGCAAAAUAAAUGAGAGCAACUGGUUUUCGGCAAGCAUAUUGAUGUUCGUACCUAGUUUAAAGAAGAAUAAAAAUUCAAUUGCAUUCCAGAAAUCAAACGGUGAGCCUCGUUUCAAUCCUCCCACACUUCACAUUGCUUGUACUAACAAGUGUUGUUUUUGUUUUACUUACGGCGGAGUCUAUAAGGCGAACACUGGUUGCCACCACUGUCAAUAAAAAAGACAUCCCUCGUUGCUCUUCUAGGAAGGUUUUAUUCCCGCCAAACUGCAGUCAUUUGAAGUAUUCCCGCAGUUUCUUAAUUUCCCCGAUUUUAAUCAAAAUUCCUAAAAGGCUACAAAUUUUGUGCAUGGUCCUUCGAACCUCAAGUGAGCUGGCAUUUGGAAUUGGAAACAACUAUCAUCAGAAAUAAUUGCAAUGAGAGCCCAACGAGAUCCAAAAAUUCACCAAUGCAAGGUUUGUUGGAGAUACCACUCUCUCCGGUUCUGUAAGAAGUUUUUGCAGAUGAAAGCCGCCGAGCGGAAACAUGUCGUAGACAAACACAAUUAUUGUUCUAAUUGUUUAGCGCGGAGCCAUACUUUACGACGAUGUACAUCCCAAGUUAUUUGCAGAAACUGUGGAGAAUACCAUCACACGCUGCUGCACUAUGCGUUGCAUCCUCGAACCAAAUCACAACCAACGAAAACCCAUCCAAAUACCCAUCGACAAACGAAAGCUGGAUGCACCAAAUUGAAGGGUAACAGAAAACUUCCAUCACAACCAAAUCAACGGUCAAGCAACCAAAUCCAACUCAUUCCAUCCGAUCAACAACAAAUUAUCACCACAGCCAUUAAAUCUUUAGCUAAUUUACUUGUUUAAAUCUCUAUUAUUUGCAUACAUGCAAAGGCCCCCCAGUAUGUUUAAAUUUACAUUAAUCUUAUUGAAUUCUUCAUAAUGUAAAUUGUAUCUAUUUGAAUUAAUAACGGAUUAUAGUUGCCAAUCCAUGAAUUUAAGUAACUAACAACAUGUAAUUAUUAUCUGCUAUCGAACAUCAAUCUGUAGCUUUGUAGUUUUUAUCCAAACUCUCUCAUAAUACCUUCGUUUAGAUUGGGCGGCAAAAUAAAUGAGAGCAACUGGUUUUCGGCAAGCAUAUUGAUGUUCGUACCUAGUUUAAAGAAGAAUAAAAAUUCAAUUGCAUUCCAGAAAUCAAACGGAAGGUUUUAUUCCCGCCAAACUGCAGUCAUUUGAAGUAUUCCCGCAGUUUCUUAAUUUCCCCGAUUUUAAUCAAAAUUCCUAAAAGGCUACAAA